AAAGUGAGACUCUGUCUCAAAAAAUAUAUAUGUAUAACACACCCAACAGGACUCUGGGGUCAUUGUGAUCAGGGGCACAAAACUUGUGGCCUCCCUGUGAAUAAAUCUCUACAUGU
ensembl:snoRNA